GGGGGUGUUGGCAUACCUGGCGUUGGAGCCAAACCGGGGAAAAUCCCUGGUGUCGGGAUCCCCGGAGGUCUCCCUGGCGGCGUGCUUCCCGGCACUGGUAUCCGUUAUCCUGGGGUAGGGGUGUUGCCGGGCGUGCCAAUUGGAAGCGGAGUCAAGCCAAAAGUCCCAGG